rnacentral:pre_miRNA from 1 species
UAUAUACUCCCUCCGUCCCAAAUUACUUGUCUUAGAUUUUUCUAGAUGUGGAAGUAUCUUGACACAUUUUAGUGUUAAAUACAUAUGUAUUAAGAAAAUAAAGAUAAAUAAUUUGCGACAGAUGGAGUACUUA